AGGAUUAAGGUUUCUUAAUGACUUUAGUUAGUGUGAAUUGCAGAAUCCCGUGAAUCAUUGAGUCUUUGAAUGCAAGUUGUGCUUGAGCCAUUAGGUUGAGGACAUGCCUGCCUAGGCGUCA
rnacentral:rRNA from 1 species